GUCUCUAUGGUUAUCACACUCAGUUGCUAACUGAAAGAUUGGAGGUUUGAAUCCACCUAGAGGCA
rnacentral:tRNA from 1 species